GAUGAACGCUGGCUACAGGCUUAACACAUGCAAGUCGAGGGGAAACGACGGGGAAGCUUGCUUCCCCGGGCGUCGACCGGCGCACGGGUGAGUAACGCGUAUCCAACCUGCCUCUGACUGAGGGAUAACCCGUCGAAAGUCGGCCUAAUACAUCAUGGCAUCGUCUGCGGGCAUCCAACGACGAUUAAAGAUUUCAUCGGUUAGAGAUGGGGAUGCGUCUGAUUAGCUUGUUGGCGGGGUAACGUCCCACCAAGGCGACGAUCAGUAGGGGUUCUGAGAGGAAGGUACCCCACAUUGGAACUGAGACACGGUCCAAACUCCUACGGGAGGCAGCAGUGAGGAAUAUUGGUCAAUGGGCGAGAGCCUGAACCAGCCAAGUAGCGUGCAGGAUGACGGCCCUAUGGGUUGUAAACUGCUUUUAUGCGGGGAUAAAGUGAGGGACGUGUCCUUCAUUGCAGGUACCGCAUGAAUAAGGACCGGCUAAUUCCGUG
rnacentral:rRNA from 1 species